rnacentral:lncRNA from 1 species
CACAUCUGAGCUCAGCUUUUAUUGUCUGUGCCAGCUCCUACCAUAGUCUCAUUUUUGCGGGAUUACUUUUAGAAAAAGGACACUGGUGGGUAUAAUAAAGGGCAAAAUUUGGCUUUGUAUAGGUGGACCUCUAUAUGGCCAUGAGAACAAUAGCAUCUCUAUUUAUAUGGCUCUAUCUAUAUGAAGUGCAGCCAUGAUUUGGGAUUCUCUUUCUGUUGUUACUUUCAGAACUCCUGGUCUGAAGGGUGCAACAGUGCUUCUCCUAGGAGCCGGAGCCGCGGGGAAGAUGAGGCGUAGAGCAGCCGCUUCCCCGAACGUCGGUACUGCUUUCGGUAACGCCCUGAGCCUCAGGAGGAAGACUUGCACUUUCCCACUCAGUUAUAAUCAGUUAAAAUUAAAAUACAGAGUAUGACACCAGUGUACAGACAGACCAAACUACCAUAAUGCAUAAUAAUAGAAGUGGAAUUAACAGAUAUUUAAAAAGAAGCAACAUUUCUACGAAAAGGUACUCAUUUAUUACCAUUCAAUGUGGAACAAAAAUGUGAUCUAAAAUACAUAAUGCUUUUAUAAAAUAUGUGCCUUAUAACAACAUGCUGCCAGAUUUUAGUCAGCUCAUUAAAAUGAAGGAUCCACUUGACCUCUUCUAUAAUUGUGUAAAUGAACCAGAAAUCUGAUUAGUCCAAUAAAUUCACGGGUUGUUCCA